CAUCCAGGAGGUUCUCACCACCAACCUGACCUCUGUUAUGGAGAAGACUUUGUGACGCUCAGCUGCACCAUAAGGCUGCUAGAGAGACAGGAGGCAUUCAUUCAUUUGCCCAAUUCUCGUUUACUGGGCACCACUACGUGCCAGAUGCUGGGGCCACAGCACUGGGGGAGGCACAGCCCCUGCUCUCAGGACGCUGCCAGUCCGGGGGGAGACGGAAAUGUUCACUGACAAUGCCAGUACCGGAAGUGGAAGUGCUGGAAGAGCUCCUCCCCCAGCCCCGUGGGAUCACGGAGGCUAACCAAACUGGCUAAUCAUCCUGCCUUGAGAAAGAGUUCACCAAGAAAUAGGAGAGUGUGGACUUUUUUUCUCCUCGAGUCUUAAAAGAACAAGAAGGACUUGGAUGGUUUAAGAAAACGGGAGCUGUGUGAAACAGUCUAGCAUUUCCACAAAAAAUUAAACCGAGUUACCAUCGGACCCAGCAAUUCCACCCGAUUCUCACGCAAGAGAGAUGACGACGUGCGCACUUAAUAAUGGCAAAAACAAGUGGAAACAACACAAACCUCCAUCAGCAGCUGCAUUGUUGUCUUAAAAUUGGAAAAUCAGUGUUGCUAUAAUAAAUCAUAGCACAAGGAUUUUACUCGGGCGUAAAAUCUGAAUGAGAAAAGCAAUCUGUGCAAUCUUCCAUCUUCAAAGGAAGCAUUUAGCCCAACAGGGUGUUGGAACACAAUGGCCAUCUGUUUCUGCAAAUCACUGGAGUUCAUCGAGGCUCUCCAGUCAGACAGACCCAGAUUCAUGUCCCGGGUCCACACCUUAGUGGCUCUGUGACCCGGGGCAGGUGGCCUCACUUCUCUGAGUCUCCAUUUUCCCCUACAGUGAAGAGGAAGAAUAAUCCUUUUCUCACAGGACCGGUUCAAGGACUUCGUGCGGUGACAUGUGCAGAGUCCUUGGCAUGGUGCCUGCACGUGAUAGCAUAAAGCAGAUGUCAUCGCCCUUCUGUGUUAGCGGGGAUGGGCUGCGCUGGGACGCAGUAACCCUCUAAACCUGGGAACCCCCAAAUCUCAGCAGCCACACGCCUCACACGUCUGUGUCUCACUCAGUCAAAGUCCACCUGUGAGUCCACCUCGUCUCCAGGGUAACCGCCUUCCACCAGGCGGCUCAGCGAUCUUGGCACCUCUACCAGGCAGCAUGCCGGCCUUGCAGCAACAGCUCCAGGCCUCAGCCCAUGGGGCAAAUGGUGCUUCUCGCACUGCGUCCUGGCCAGGAUUGGCCAUGUGAGCCCCACCUCUGGCAAAGGGGCUGAGAACUGUGGACAAGCAGCUGGGGGUGUCGGGAGAGACCCCGCCUCUGCCGCUCCUCCACUUCCUUCGGUCAGCCCACUUCACCUCUCUGAGCCUCAGUUUCCUCAUCUGCAAAAUAGAGCUUAUACAUCCUGCCCUACCUUGUGUGGGAUUGUCAGAGGGGCACGUGUGAUCAUGUUGGUGAAAAAUGCUAAGUUAGCAUGAGGGGAUUGUAUGCCUGCCUUUUGCUGUGCCAAAGCUAUGUCACUGUCUCUGGUCCAUAGGAAAAAUGUACCAGCACUUCAACCCUCCUUAAAUCUGCGUUCUGUUCUUACUCUC